GUUGUCUGUGUGCUAGGUGCAACAGCAGCUGCAGUCGGAUGGCUUUGGGAAGAAAAGCUCGUUUCUGAUUUUCUGAAAAAAUACAUCGACCAUGCCAAAUCACAGCUACACACAAAACGGUCAACGCAUGCUGAAAACUGCGCUGCCCACUGGAAACAAAAUCUUGAAAAGAAACUUAAAGAGGUAGAAAAUCAGUGGAAUGAAAAACUCUCCAAAGUAAAUUUUACAACAAUUGACAAUCGCAUCGAGCAGAUAAAGAAGACGGAGGAAACAUUCGUGUCUCUAAGGACAGAACUUGAACUCAUAAAAGAAAAACUAAAGAAAUACAAAAGUAAGCUGAAGAAGAUACUAAGAUACUUUUGUGUUGAC